UACGUAGGGACCAAGCGUUGUUCGGAUUUACUGGGCGUAAAGGGCGCGUAGGCGGCAUGACAAGUCACUUGUGAAAUCUCUGGGCUUAACCCAGAACGGCCAAGUGAUACUGUCGCGCUAGAGUGCGGAAGGGGCAAUCGGAAUUCUUGGUGUAGCGGUGAAAUGCGUAGAUAUCAGGAGGAACACCGGUGGCGAAGGCGGGUCUCUGGGCCGAUACUGACGCUGAGGAGCGAAAGCGUGGGGAGCGAACAGG
rnacentral:rRNA from 1 species